AAAAGGCAAAAUUGCCUAAUGUGAGUGUGAAGGGGAAAAAAAAGAAACAUAAGCAAAUCAAAGAUUCUUUUUAAAAUCGAACAUUUAUACAAACGAACAUUUAUUUAUACGUAACGUAUUCCUGUGUAAAUAAAUAAACAAAUUCAUAUAUGUACGUAUGUGUAUGCGCUGCUAAGUAGUUUUAGUUUCAUGACUUGUUACGGAAAUGAAAUGUCUUUACGAAGUGUGUGCAAAUACACACACACACACACAAACACACACACACAUACACAGCGAUUAAUUCAACGUGUAUUUUGUUAUAUGCUAUAAAAUCGUAUUUACUACUACUUUGUAAAAGUGUGUUUUGCUUAUGUAUGUAUAAACUUAUAAAAGAAAAAGCAAAAAAAAAAUUUUAAAAAAAUUGUACAGUUAUGAUGGCAUUAGCUGUCGUUGCAAUUGUUCAACACGCGCUCAACACUUGCAUUUGGAUUGAAGAUGGAUUUUGUAAAUUCUUUUCAUGAUUUCUUGUUUACUUAUAAUUGGCACGUAUUGCCGUAACUGCUGCACGGUUACCAGGACAAUUUCAUGUGCAUAACAGUCUUAAAAUAUAAUCGAGUCGUUUUAUAAUUUUAAUUAAAUAUUUAUUUACUUGCGAGAUGAAAUGGUUCAGCGAACGCAUCGUUUUUGUUGAGAGCCCCCCUUUUUCUUUUCUGCUUUGAUUUGGCAUUGAAGCCUGAAUAACAUUGAAACCACAAAAAUAACAAAUAAAAAAAAAAAAUAAAUAAAUAAAUAACAAAAAAAAAAAAAAAAAAUACACAUCUUUAUGCUCUCGCUAGUACAGCUUUGCUGUACAAGCAAGCACUUAUCAUAAAAGUGUGUUCGAUAUACGAAAAACAAAAAAAAAAAGAAAAGAAAACAAAAGCUCUAAAGUGCCGCUGUUCUAUUUCAUCUUUAGUUUUCAUUACUGCUAUAUGUAGACGUUAUACGUAUGAUAUAUGCUCGUAAGUGUUAUUCAAAAA